rnacentral:rRNA from 1 species
AUUGAACGCUGGCGGCAGGCCUAACACAUGCAAGUCGAGCGGAGCGGCGGACGGGUGAGUAAUGCCUAGGAAUCUGCCUGGUAGUGGGGGAUAACGUCCGGAAACGGGCGCUAAUACCGCAUACUAUCAGAUGAGCCUAGGUCGGAUUAGCUAGUUGUGGGGGUAAAGGCCUACCAAGGCGACGAUCCGUAACUGGUCGGAGCGGAUGAUCAGUCAAACUGGAACUGAAGCACGGUCCGGCGGCCGAGGGGGGGAAGAAGUGGGGAAAAGUGGAAAAUUGGCGAAUGCCUGAUCCGGCCAUGCGGCGUGUGUUAAGAAGGUCUUCGGAUUUUAAAGCACUUUAAGUUGGGAGACGUUACCAACAGAGUAAGCACCGGCUAACUUCGUGCCAGCAGCCGCGGUAAUAC